ensembl:miRNA MIR6070 microRNA 6070
GGGUCACUUCUAGCCUCUCCGGUUCCAGUCCCUGGAGCUCUGUGCCUUUGGGUCCUGGUGAGCUCUUGUUGAUUGCAGUGGGAGAUGGGGAGAAUUGCCUUCA